GACGAACGCUGGCGGCGUGCUUAACACAUGCAAGUCGAACGGAAAGGCCCUGCUUUUGUGGGGUGCUCGAGUGGCGAACGGGUGAGUAACACGUGAGUAACCUGCCCUUGACUUUGGGAUAACUUCAGGAAACUGGGGCUAAUACCGGAUAGGAGCUCCUGCUGCAUGGUGGGGGUUGGAAAGUUUCGGCGGUUGGGGAUGGACUCGCGGCUUAUCAGCUUGUUGGUGGGGUAGUGGCUUACCAAGGCUUUGACGGGUAGCCGGCCUGAGAGGGUGACCGGCCACAUUGGGACUGAGAUACGGCCCAGACUCCUACGGGAGGCAGCAGUGGGGAAUAUUGCACAAUGGGCGGAAGCCUGAUGCAGCAACGCCGCGUGCGGGAUGACGGCCUUCGGGGUGUAAACCGCUUUCGCCUGUGACGAAGCGUGAGUGACGGUAAUGGGUAAAGAAGCACCGGCUAACGACG
rnacentral:rRNA from 1 species